GUUUUGAUUAACCCUUUAAUUGCCGAAUCCUUAAAACCAGACUGCCAUAGAGUUACUGUAAAUGCAUGUGCUCGCUGGGCACAGUUUUCCUGAUGCCACCGGGGCGGCGUUUGCACUGAUGGCUUGAGCCCGCCAUCGCUGCUUGCAGCUAUAUUUAGGGCCCGAGCACCGAUGGUGCGUAGGCACCUAUUGAAACCGUUGGCGUUCUUCUUCUUCUUCUUCUUCUUCUUCUUCUUCUUCUUCUUCCGCCGCAAGUCUAUGGCAGCCCAUAGAACCGAUUGCGGGAAAGUUGUAUAAUUUGGCACACUGAUAGAGGACAG
ensembl:lncRNA